rnacentral:lncRNA from 1 species
CACGUUUGUAGUCGAAUCGUCAAAGUCGUCUCCACCAAAUCGAUAGUUAUCAUCUCAUCGAAAGAUCGGGACACCCCGCCUCUAUCAAGUGGUAUCAGUUUUCAGGUUGCUCGGUGAGAUUUUACAGUUUUUCAUAGUUUAGAUCGCAUCUGCCAUUCAUACCUACAGUCCAUGAAAAAGCCAUAAAAAAGUUAGAUCUGUUCAUUAUUUAUCCAAGCCAGUCUGAGCCUUUGCAAUUUUCUAUUCAUUGCUUGCAUAGUUGAAUUAUCGGUUGCAUCGUCGUGUUAGUUGCUGGUCUUAGUGUCUAGUUCCUUUAGAGUUUCGAGUUCUCUUCACAUUAGUCACGCCGCCGCUGCAUCAUUAUCCCUUCCGCUGUCCACCAUCCCAUCCAUUAAUUUCCACCACGUGCUACGCAUUGUUCAUUGUCAUAAUCAUAGUUGAGGUCAUUCACAUCUUCGCCUGAUCCAAUCUGCAUCUUAUCUAGUUUGUCUUGGAAAGAGGGAGAAAAAAAAGUUAGAGGAAAACAAAAGAGAGGAAAAAGAAGAAAAAUAGAGAGAAGAAAAAAAAAGCGUGAGAAAAAAAAAAGAGAAGAAAAAAAAAUCGGAUCUAUCUAGAAUCAAUCUCGUACCUGAAUUCGGAUUGGAAUCUGUUUUGCGCACUGUUCAGUAAAACAGGUGUAUCUUCCUCAUACGAAGUCCGUUUUGGCUCCGUGAGUACUCAAAUUGAAGAUAGGGACGAGCCACAUCUAAAUAGUUGCAGAAGCUCGUUCAGUAUUUGACACCUCAAAAUCGGCUUCUAAAUAGGUCUUUUUGCCCUCUGAAGUUCAUGAACACAGCUUGUUCCAAUUUUUCAGGCCAGUUUUAGAAUUCUUUGACUCCUCAUAUCAACUCGGAAUUGAGUGAUUCUUUUUGCAUUGGAAAGCUUGAGUUAGUAGCAUUCUUUGAAAGAAUUUAUCAGAAAAUUGGCUCAAACUUUUCAAGAGGAAAGUUGGAGAGAGAGUUGUUGUAUAUCCUGUUUGGCAGUUGUUUUUCAUCAUUAUCUUUACUGUCGUUGUGAUCUUCACUUAUAUCUUACUGUCUAGAGCUACUUAGUAUCUUUCAUUGAUGCUAGUUGUGCUACGCCGUGACCUCAUUAGUGUUCUAGGCUCGCGUCUCUAGUCCGGUCUAGCCUAGGACCAGCACAGUACCGUCGUUGAGCGUUUAUUCAACAUUGCAUCUUUGAAUUGAUUAUUGCUAAUCUUUUGCUACCAUAUAUAGCCAACCUAGCUCCACAUAUUUCUACACCGUGUAUACGUACGCUCCCCUGGCAAUCGCUUCACUCAAUAUUCGGAGUUACUUGACACCGCUGGUUGCCGAUCACCGCCUGCUGCAUGGUAAGAACUUGUAAGACAUUGAUAUUUGCUUUACUGUGAGCGUUUUACCACCACAUCCUAGUAGUUAUAGGAACAUUAUUUUUGUGUUUUGUUUCUUGUUCUACUAAUCAUGACAGGAUCCAGAGUCAAUUCAUGGGCUUUGUCGAUCGCGGGAGACGUGCUACCACCUUUGCAAAUACCACAACCGUCACGAGAGGUGCACAAACAUCCAAAUGCACAUGAUCAGGUUAAUGUAUCUAUACCACCAUUUAAUGGCCGUUUUAAACCUGCUUUAUAUAUUGAAUGGGAGUUCGACAUAAAAAAUAUAUUUGCUUCCCAUAAUUUUGAUGAACAUAAAAAGGUUAAGGUUGCGGUUGGUUCUUUCACUGGUUAUGCUCUGGUUUGGUGGAGUGAAUAUUGUCGGUUACACCCUGAUUAUAUACCUACUACUUGGGAUGAUUUGAAACUUGCCAUGCGACAUACUUUCGUCCCUGCUUAUUAUACUCGUGACAUGAUUAAGAAGUUGCAACACUUAAAACAAGGUAGUGAAACUGUAACAAAAUAUUAUGAUGAUUUACAAACUACCUUGUUGCAUUCCUCUUUAGAAGAAAGUGAAGAUGAUUUUAUGGAUAGAUUUUGGGGAGGAUUAAACCGUGAUAUUCAAGAGGUACUAAUUCAUGAAGAGUGUUAUCCUAUGGACCAUUUGUUUCAUCUUGCUUGCAAAGCUGAACAGGAAAUAAAACGACGUGUUGGCCACGAGGAGAACAAGCGCACGAUGCACAUUCCAAGAGUUGAUAUGAUUGUUCCUUCAACUACUAGGCAUACUAUGACAACCACAUCCGUUGUUGUCAGGACUACAUCACCUCCACCAUGUGACACAUCGGCCCCGAGAGUGGCUACAUCAUCUGAGUUGAUCAUAAGAGGUAAUGACAAAGGUACUGAUCUUCCAUCUCUACAUGAGAAUGAUGAAUGCCUUGUCAAUUUGAAUGCACCAUCUGAUGAGCUACCCACUACUUUGAUCACACCACCUAUUUUAGAGGACUACGUUGAUAAUUUGACUUUGCCAUGUGAUCAAACAACUAAAAUACCAACAAUUUUGAGUGCACCCAUUGAAUUAACUAUUGAUGCAAAAGAACCAAUGUUUAAUCAUUUUGAUAUGACCUCUAAUCUUGGUGAUGAUUCUGUGUUGAAUGACUUAUUGCAUGUUUGCUUAUUUAAGCAUGUUGUAGCAUGUAAAUUUGAUGCAAGUAAGGUUUAUUCACCAAUGUUGGGAUGGUUUAAUGAUGAACAUUGUCAAUCUUUUGAAAUGAGUAAGAGCUUCACUUAUAUGUGCAAACUGAGUUACAAUAUUUUCAUGCCUUCUACUUCUUGUGCUAAUUUUUUGGCUUUAGAUUUUAUGAACUAUGCAAGUUACUCAUCUAUUCAUGUGUCAUAUAUGCAAAAAUCAAGGAAAGUAAAAAUGGAUGACAUAUACAUAUACAACAUGUACACCUUGUCUCUUUUGUUAGCCACAUUUCAGAUUAAGCAACGCCGAGGACGGCUUUAUUUUCAAGAAGGGGAGGAUGAUGAGGACAUGACUACCUUGGAUAUGACCAAAAAUAUUGCAUAUAUGCAUAUUUGUCAGGUGAUUUCUAGUGCAAACUAUUCAAUAAUCUAUUUAUGUUAUCCAGAACAAAAAUACUUCACACACUUUUGUGUUUUGUCUAAUUGCAGGUGUAUGGGACAUUUGUACAAUCCACAUAUGAAGAUAAGGAAGAAAGAGAUGUUUAUUUGCUGUCCAAAAAGUUCUCUCACGUCACUUUUGGCCCAAGAGAAGAUAGAGUCCAAGUCUCUCACGUUCUGGAUUCAGAUUCGGACUGCACAGACACACCUGACUCAAAACACACACAAGUUUUUCAUACGGACACCGAAUUGGGUGAUUCUUUUUUUGUUGGAAACUAGAUUUCGUGCACUUUCCAACCCAAUUGGAAUCACCUUCAAAUUCGUCCGGAGCGUUGAGUUGUGGACGAAACAAUCUGAUGCUGCAGCAGAAUCCGAGUCAAACUACAAGUCCAAAGGUGUUACAUCACCUCCACUUGGGCCCAUUGGCCUUGUACGACCAAGAUUUAGUUUUAGGCUGCCUUGGGACGUCCUCCCACCUCCUUGGCCGCCACCCCUUGCUCCUAUAUAAGUAGAUCCAUCUAGUAGCUUUUCCUUGGGAUUUGUUUAGUUAAAAGUUAGCCAUUGCAACUUCGUGUACUUCGUUUGUGUCCAACGACCAGACCAAGACCGCUUACGGAUCCCCACCUUUAUCAAUACUUCAUAUAUACUCGCAAUAUUCAGAUUGCUUUUAUCAUAUUCUUGCUUGUUCUUCGAUUGCUUGCAGGAAUAGACCUUCGUGGUCAGGUUGAUUGUGCUCCGGCGUGAUCAAUAACCUCUCGGAGUUGGUUUAGCGAUUGCUAAGGCGCAACGUCGUGCACGUUUGUAGUCGAAUCGUCAAAGUCGUCUCCACCAAAUCGAUAGUUAUCAUCUCAUCGAAAGAUCGGGACACCCCGCCUCUAUCAAGUGGUAUCAGUUUUCAGGUUGCUCGGUGAGAUUUUACAGUUUUUCAUAGUUUAGAUCGCAUCUGCCAUUCAUACCUACAGUCCAUGAAAAAGCCAUAAAAAAGUUAGAUCUGUUCAUUAUUUAUCCAAGCCAGUCUGAGCCUUUGCAAUUUUCUAUUCAUUGCUUGCAUAGUUGAAUUAUCGGUUGCAUCGUCGUGUUAGUUGCUGGUCUUAGUGUCUAGUUCCUUUAGAGUUUCGAGUUCUCUUCACAUUAGUCACGCCGCCGCUGCAUCAUUAUCCCUUCCGCUGUCCACCAUCCCAUCCAUUAAUUUCCACCACGUGCUACGCAUUGUUCAUUGUCAUAAUCAUAGUUGAGGUCAUUCACAUCUUCGCCUGAUCCAAUCUGCAUCUUAUCUAGUUUGUCUUGGAAAGAGGGAGAAAAAAAAGUUAGAGGAAAACAAAAGAGAGGAAAAAGAAGAAAAAUAGAGAGAAGAAAAAAAAAGCGUGAGAAAAAAAAAAGAGAAGAAAAAAAAAUCGGAUCUAUCUAGAAUCAAUCUCGUACCUGAAUUCGGAUUGGAAUCUGUUUUGCGCACUGUUCAGUAAAACAGGUGUAUCUUCCUCAUACGAAGUCCGUUUUGGCUCCGUGAGUACUCAAAUUGAAGAUAGGGACGAGCCACAUCUAAAUAGUUGCAGAAGCUCGUUCAGUAUUUGACACCUCAAAAUCGGCUUCUAAAUAGGUCUUUUUGCCCUCUGAAGUUCAUGAACACAGCUUGUUCCAAUUUUUCAGGCCAGUUUUAGAAUUCUUUGACUCCUCAUAUCAACUCGGAAUUGAGUGAUUCUUUUUGCAUUGGAAAGCUUGAGUUAGUAGCAUUCUUUGAAAGAAUUUAUCAGAAAAUUGGCUCAAACUUUUCAAGAGGAAAGUUGGAGAGAGAGUUGUUGUAUAUCCUGUUUGGCAGUUGUUUUUCAUCAUUAUCUUUACUGUCGUUGUGAUCUUCACUUAUAUCUUACUGUCUAGAGCUACUUAGUAUCUUUCAUUGAUGCUAGUUGUGCUACGCCGUGACCUCAUUAGUGUUCUAGGCUCGCGUCUCUAGUCCGGUCUAGCCUAGGACCAGCACAGUACCGUCGUUGAGCGUUUAUUCAACAUUGCAUCUUUGAAUUGAUUAUUGCUAAUCUUUUGCUACCAUAUAUAGCCAACCUAGCUCCACAUAUUUCUACACCGUGUAUACGUACGCUCCCCUGGCAAUCGCUUCACUCAAUAUUCGGAGUUACUUGACACCGCUGGUUGCCGAUCACCGCCUGCUGCAUGGUAAGAACUUGUAAGACAUUGAUAUUUGCUUUACUGUGAGCGUUUUACCACCACAUCCUAGUAGUUAUAGGAACAUUAUUUUUGUGUUUUGUUUCUUGUUCUACUAAUCAUGACAGGAUCCAGAGUCAAUUCAUGGGCUUUGUCGAUCGCGGGAGACGUGCCACCACCUUUGCAAAUACCACAACCGUCACGAGAGGUGCACAAACAUCCAAAUGCACAUGAUCAGGUUAAUGUAUCUAUACCACCAUUUAAUGGCCGUUUUAAACCUGCUUUAUAUAUUGAAUGGGAGUUCGACAUAAAAAAUAUAUUUGCUUCCCAUAAUUUCGAUGAACAUAAAAAGGUUAAGAUUGCGGUUGGUUCUUUCAUUGGUUAUGCUUUGGUUUGGUGGAGUGAAUAUUGUCGGUUACACCCUGAUUAUAUACCUACUACUUGGGAUGAUUUGAAACUUGCCAUGCGACAUACUUUCGUCCCUGCUUAUUAUACUCGUGACAUGAUUAAGAAGUUGCAACACUUAAAACAAGGUAGUGAAACUGUAACAAAAUAUUAUGAUGAUUUACAAACUACCUUGUUGCAUUCCUCUUUAGAAGAAAGUGAAGAUGAUUUUAUGGAUAGAUUUUGGGGAGGAUUAAACCGUGAUAUUCAAGAGAUACUAAUUCAUGAAGAGUGUUAUCCUAUGGACCAUUUGUUUCAUCUUGCUUGCAAAGCUGAACAGGAAAUAAAACGACGUGUUGGCCACGAGGAGAACAAGCGCACGGUGCACAUUCUAAGAGUUGAUAUGAUUGUUCCUUCAACUACUAGGCAUACUAUGACAACCACAUCCGUUGUUGUCAGGACUACAUCACCUCCACCAUGUGACACAUCGCCCCCGAGAGUGGCUACAUCAUCUGAGUUGAUCAUAAGAGGUAAUGACAAAGGUACUGAUCUUCCAUCUCUACAUGAGAAUGAUGAAUGCCUUGUCAAUUUGAAUGCACCAUCUGAUGAGCUACCCACUACUUUGAUCACACCACCUAUUUUAGAGGACUACGUUGAUAAUUUGACUUUGGCAUGUGAUCAAACAACUGAAAUACCAACAAUUUUGAGUGCACCCAUUGAAUUAACUAUUGAUGCAAAAGAACCAAUGUUUAAUCAUUUUGAUAUGACCUCUAAUCUUGGUGAUGAUUCUGUGUUGAAUGACUUAUUGCAUGUUUGCUUAUUUAAGCAUGUUGUAGCAUGUAAAUUUGAUGCAAGUAAGGUUUAUUCACCAAUGUUGGGAUGGUUUAAUGAUGAACAUUGUCAAUCUUUUGAAAUGAGUAAGAGCUUCACUUAUAUGUGCAAACUGAGUUGCAAUAUUUUCAUGCCUUCUACUUCUUGUGCUAAUUUUUUGGCUUUAGAUUUUAUGAACUAUGCAAGUUACUCAUCUAUUCAUGUGUCAUAUAUGCAAAAAUCAAGGGAAGUAAAAAUGGAUGACAUAUACAUAUACAACAUGUACACCUUGUCUCUUUUGUUAGCCACAUUUCAGAUUAAGCAACGCCGAGGACGGCUUUAUUUUCAAGAAGGGGAGGAUGAUGAGGACAUGACUACCUUGGAUAUGACCAAAAAUAUUGCAAAUGGUGGAAUAUUCAAUUUCAGUUUAGGAAUAUGGACAUCAUCUCGUACCUGAGGUGGUGGUGCAGGCCUACCAUUACGAAGAUAUACCUGAGGUCGACCUUCAUCAUGGACACCACGUGCAUCUUCUACUUCAACUGCACCAGCACCUCCAUCCGGUGCCACCUCCAACCGUGAUACAAGAAAACAGGCACAACCACCAUUAUCUGCCAAGAGCGCACCUGCGGGGCCUGCACAGCGUUCUUCUUCUUCCAUGGCAUCAACAGGGCACACAAGUGAUAUUAUUUGUCGUCGUUGUAAGGGAGGAGGUCAUUAUGCGAGAGAAUGCAAAUCUCCGCGUGUGAUGAUUGCUACCGCGGAUGGUGGAUAUGAGUCCGCUAGUGACUAUGAUGAGGAGACUUUGGCUCUUAUUACACGUGAAGAACAUGGUGGAGAUGAUUCUGAUCAUGAGACGCAAUACAUGGCUCCUGAAGACGCUGACAGGUAUGAAUGUUUAGUUGCUCAACGUGUUUUGAGUGUGCAGGUCACACAAGCUGAGCAAAAUCAGAGGCACAAUUUGUUCCAUACCAAGGGAGUUGUGAAGGAACGUUCUGUGCGCGUCAUCAUAGACGGGGGGAGCUGCAACAACUUGGCUAGCAUGGAGAUGGUGGAGAAGCUUUCUCUCACCACAAGACCACAUCCACAUCCUUACUACAUCCAAUGGUUCAACAACAGCGGCAAGGUUAAGGUAACACGUACUGUUCGUGUGCAUUUUAGUAUCUCUACAUAUGCUGAUUAUGUUGAUUGUGAUGUGGUACCUAUGCAAGCAUGUUCCUUAUUACUUGGUAGACCAUGGCAAUUUGAUAAAAAUUCUGUACACCAUGGUAGAAACAAUCACUAUACUCUUGUUCAUAAGGAUAAAAAUAUUACUUUGCUUCCUAUGACUCCUGAUUCCAUUUUGAAAGAUGAUAUUAAUAGAGCUAAUAAAGCAAAAAAGGAGACGAAUAAGAGUGAAAAUCAGAUUGUGGCAAAAGAAUUUGAGCAACAAAUGAAGCCUAAUAAUAAACCAUCUAGUGUUGCUUCUGAAAUUAAAUUGAAAAGUGCAUGUUUAUUUGCCACCAAAUCUGAUAUUGAUGAGCUAGAUUUCAGCAAAUCUGUUUGCUAUGCUUUUGUGUGCAAAGAGGCAUUAUUUUCAUUCGAGGACGUGCCUUCCUCUUUGCCUCCUGCUGUCACUAACAUUUUGCAGGAGUUCGCUGACGUCUUUCCACAAGACGUGCCACCGGGAUUACCGCCUAUUCGAGGGAUUGAGCAUCAGAUUGACUUAAUUCCCGGUGCUUCACUGCCAAACCGUGCACCAUACCGUACCAAUCCAGAGGAGACGAAGGAGAUUAUGCGCCAAGUACAAGAGCUUCUCGACAAAGGUUAUAUACGCGAAUCCCUUAGUCCUUGUGCUGUUCCUAUUAUUCUAGUGCCGAAAAAGGAUGGUACAUCACGUAUGUGUGUUGAUUGUAGAGGCAUUAAUAAUAUUACUAUUCGUUAUCGUCUUCCUAUUCCUAGGCUAGAUGAUAUGCUUGAUGAAUUGAGUGGCUCUACAAUAUUCUCCAAAGUUGAUUUGCGUAGUGGCUACCAUCAAAUUCGUAUGAAAUUGGGAGAUGAAUGGAAAACAGCAUUUAAAACUAAGUUUGGAUUAUAUGAGUGGUUAGUCAUGCCUUUUGGGUUAACUAAUGCACCUAGUACUUUCAUGAGAUUAAUGAACGAAGUUUUACGUGCUUUCAUUGGACGAUUUGUGGUAGUUUACUUUGAUGACAUACUGAUUUAUAGCAGAUCUUUGGAAGAACAUUUGGAACAUUUACGUGCUGUUUUUAUUGCUCUACGUGAUGCACGUUUGUUUGGUAACCUUGGGAAGUGCACCUUUUGCACCGACCGAGUAUCUUUUCUUGGCUAUGUUGUUACUCCACAGGGAAUUGAAGUUGACAAAGCCAAGAUUGAAGCUAUUGACAGUUGGCCGCAGCCCAAAACGGUCACACAAGUGAGGAGUUUUCUUGGCCUCGCUGGAUUCUAUAGGCGUUUUGUGAGAGAUUUCAGCACCAUUGCUGCACCUCUCAAUGUGCUUACAAAGAAGGAUGUGCCUUUUGUUUGGGGUACCGCACAGGAAGAAGCCUUCACGGUAUUGAAAGAUAAGUUGACACAUGCUCCUUUACUCCAACUUCCUGAUUUUAAUAAGACUUUUGAGCUUGAAUGUGAUGCUAGUGGAAUUGGAUUAGGAGGUGUGUUAUUACAAGAUGGCAAACCUAUUGCAUACUUUUCUGAAAAAUUGAGUGGGCCUAGUCUAAAUUAUUCUACUUAUGAUAAAGAAUUAUAUGCUCUUGUUCGGACUUUAGAAACAUGGCAACAUUAUUUAUGGCCCAAAGAAUUUGUUAUACAUUCUGAUCAUGAAUCUUUGAAACAUAUUAAAAGUCAAGCUAAACUGAAUCGUAGACAUGCUAAAUGGGUUGAAUUCAUUGAGACUUUCCCUUAUGUCAUUAAACACAAGAAGGGAAAAGAAAAUGUUAUUGCUGAUGCAUUGUCUCGUCGCUAUACUAUGCUUUCACAACUUGACUUCAAAAUAUUUGGUUUGGAGACCAUCAAAGAUCAAUAUGUGCAUGAUGCUGAUUUUAAAGAUGUAAUGUAGAAUUGUAAAGAAGGAAGAAUGUGGAACAAGUUUGUCGUUAACGAUGGAUUUGUGUUUCGUGCUAACAAGCUAUGCAUUCCAGCUAGCUCCGUUCGUCUUUUGUUGUUGCAGGAGGCGCAUUGAUAGAGGCGGAGGUGUCCCGUCUUUGGAUGAGAUGAUGGAUUUCGCUUUGGUGGAAAUUGAUUUUGACGAUCCGACUACGAACGUGCGAGGACGUCGCGCCUUAGCAAUCGCUAAACCAACUCCGAGAGGUUAUUGACCACGCCGGAGCACGAUCAACCUGACCACGAGGGUCUGUUUCCUGCGAGCAAACGAAGAACAAGCAAGAAACUGAGAUUGCAAUCUGGAUAUUGCAAAUAUAAGAUGAAAGCUUUAUUGAUCAAGGUGGGGUUCUGUGACGCCUUUGUCUGGUCGUUGAACACAAACGAAGUACGCGAAGUUGCAGCUAUGGCGAACUUUUAAUCUAAACAAAACCCAAAGUCUAAACGAUGCCCUAAGGGCUGUAUAUAUGGAGGAAGAGGGGGGAAUUUCGUGGCCCUUGGUGGAGGGGUCCGAAAUCAACCCUAUCUCUUGUUUCCCCACACAUACGGACUCUAAAAAUAGCCUAUACUUAUGUAUUUCGAAAUUACAUGGGCCUGGCCCAAUAAUAAGGUGACGCAGCACCUAAAAUAGCCUCAGGACGAAAUUUAUGAAGUGGCAUCUUGUAUAUUUCGUCCAAGGCUUCAUGCACCCAUUAUGGUGGCUUCAAAGUUCUGAAAUCAUCACUUGUAACUCCGUUCUUGUUCCCCUUGCGCAUGCCAUCAUCUCCAUGCUGGUUCUUGCUCCAAUGUUCAUCCUUCUCCAAGCUAGGCCCUUCAUUUGUAAGCAAAACAAAUGUAUCCAAUUUAGGCAGCAUCAUAUUCUCAUGAACAUUAGAAUCAUUACCAAGAAACGAAAGUACCUGGUAAUUUAGUUGGCGUGCACGGGCUCUAGUAAUUGGUCCAAUAUGUAUAGCAGCAGGGGCUGUGGGUGUAACAAUUGUAUUGAUGUCCUCAUCAUCCUCCCCUUCUUGAAAUGAAGUCGUCCUCGACGGAAGUUCAUCUUCCUCACCCAAAUAAGGCUUCAAAUCUGCAAUGUUAAAAGUGGGACUAACCCCAAAAUCUGCAGGCAGCUCAAGUUUAUAUGCAUUAUCAUUUAUUUUCUCUAACACCUUAAAGGGACCAUGAGCACGUGGCAUUAGCUUUGAUUUGCGCAAAUCAGGAAAUCUAUCCUUACGCAAAUGUAACCAAACAAGAUCUCCAGGUGCAAACACAACAUGUUUUCUACCCUUAUCUCCAGCAAGUUUAUAUUUAGCAUUCAUACGCUCAAUGUUUUCCUUAGUUAACUCAUGCAUUUUUAAAAUCAAUUCAGCACGUUGUUUAGCAUCAAAAUUAACCUUCUCCGAAGAUGGAAGAGGCAACAAAUCAAUAGGUGCACGAGGUAGGAAACCAUACACAACUUCAAAAGGGCACAUCUUAGUAGUAGAAUGCAAUGAACGAUUAUAAGCAAAUUCAAUAUGAGGCAAGCAUUCCUCCCACAUUUUCUUAUUAUUCUUCAAAACAGCCCUAAGCAUAGUAGACAACGUUCUAUUGACUACUUCAGUUUGUCCAUCAGUUUGGGGGUGACAAGUAGUACUAAAAAGCAGUUUAGUCCCCAACUUAGCCCAUAAACAUCUCCAAAAGUGGCUAAGAAAUUUAGUAUCACGAUCUGAAACAAUGGUAUUUGGCACACCAUGCAAGCGAAUAAUUUCACGAAAGAACAAAUCAGCAACAUUAACAGCAUCAUCGCUUUUAUGACAUGGUAUAAAGUGUGCCAUUUUCGAGAAUCUAUCCACGACAACAAAUAUGCUAUCCCUCCCCUUCUUUGUUCGAGGUAAACCUAAAACAAAGUCCAUAGAUAUAUCCUCCCAAGGAACACUAGGUACAGGCAAAGGCAUAUAUAAACCAUGAGGAUUGAGUCGUGACUUAGCUUUUUGACAUGUAGUGCAUCGAGCAAUAAAACGCUCAACAUCCCGUCUCAUCUUUGGCCAAAAGAAAUGUGUAGCAAGUACGUCCUUCGUCUUCUUCACGCCAAAGUGUCCCAUUAAUCCUCCUCCAUGCGCCUCCUGCAACAACAAAAGACGAACGGAGCUAGCUGGAAUGCAUAGCUUGUUAGCACGAAACACAAAUCCAUCGCUAACGAAAAACUUGUUCCACAUUCUUCCUUCUUUACAAUUCUGCAUUACAUCUUUAAAAUCAGCAUCAUGCACAUAUUGAUCUUUGAUGGUCUCCAAACCAAAUAUUUUGAAGUCAAGUUGUGAAAGCAUAGUAUAGCGGCGAGACAAUGCAUCAGCAAUAACAUUUUCUUUUCCCUUCUUGUGUUUAAUGACAUAAGGGAAAGUCUCAAUGAAUUCAACCCAUUUAGCAUGUCUACGAUUCAGUUUAGCUUGACUUUUAAUAUGUUUCAAAGAUUCAUGAUCAGAAUGUAUAACAAAUUCUUUGGGCCAUAAAUAAUGUUGCCAUGUUUCUAAAGUCCGAACAAGAGCAUAUAAUUCUUUAUCAUAAGUAGAAUAAUUCAGACUAGGCCCACUCAAUUUUUCAGAAAAGUAUGCAACAGGUUUGCCAUCUUGUAAUAACACACCUCCUAAUCCAAUUCCACUAGCAUCACAUUCAAGCUCAAAAGUCUUAUUAAAAUCAGGAAGUUGGAGUAAAGGAGCAUGUGUCAACUUAUCUUUCAAUACCGUGAAGGCUUCUUCCUGUGCGGUACCCCAAAGAAAAGGCACAUCUUUCUGUGUAAGCUCAUUGAGAGGUGCAGCAAUGGUGCUGAAAUCUCUCACAAAACGCCUAUAGAAUCCAGCGAGGCCAAGAAAACUCCUCACUUGUGUGACCAUUUUGGGCUGCGGCCAACUCUCAAUAGCUUCAAUCUUGGCUUUAUCAACUUCAAUUCCCUGUGGAGUAACAACAUAGCCAAGAAAAGAUACUCGGUCGGUGCAAAAGGUGCACUUCCCAAGGUUACCAAACAAACAUGCAUCACGUAGAGCAAUAAAAACAGCACGUAAAUGUUCCAAAUGUUCUUCCAAAGAUCUGCUAUAAAUCAAUAUGUCAUCAAAGUAAACUACCACAAAUCGUCCAAUGAAAGCACGUAAAACUUCGUUCGUUAAUCUCAUGAAAGUACUAGGUGCAUUAGUUAACCCAAAAGGCAUGACUAACCACUCAUAUAAUCCAAACUUAGUUUUAAAUGCUGUUUUCCAUUCAUCUCCCAAUUUCAUACGAAUUUGAUGGUAGCCACUACGCAAAUCAACUUUGGAGAAAAUUGUAGAGCCACUCAAUUCAUCAAGCAUAUCAUCUAGCCUAGGAAUAGGAUGACGAUAACGAAUAGUAAUAUUAUUAAUGCCUCUACAAUCAACACACAUACGUGAUGUACCAUCCUUUUUUGGCACUAGAAUAAUAGGAACAGCACAAGGACUAAGGGAUUCGCGUAUAUAACCUUUGUCGAGAAGCUCUUGUACUUGACGCAUAAUCUCCUUCGUCUCCUCUGGAUUGGUACGGUAUGGUGCACGAUUUGGCAGCGAAGCACCGGGAAUUAAGUCAAUCUGAUGCUCAAUCCCUCGAAUAGGCGGUAAUCCCGGUUGAUAGAGGCAAAGGUGUCCCGUCUUUCGAUGAGAUGGUGGAUUUCGCUUUGGUGGAAGUCGACUUUGACGAUCCGACUACGAACGUGCGAGGACGUCGCGCCUUAGCAAUCGCUAAACCAACUCCGAGAGGUUAUUGACCACGCCGGAGCACGAAAAACCUGACCACGAGGGUCUGUUUCCUGCGAGCAAACGAAGAACAAGCAAGAAACUGAGAUUGCAAUCUGGAUAUUGCGAAUAUAAGAUGAAAGCUUUAUUGAUCAAGGUGGGGUUCUGUGACGCCUUUGUCUGGUCGUUGAACACAAACGAAGUACGCGAAGUUGCAGCUAUGGCGAACUUUUAAUCUAAACAAAACCCAAAGUCUAAACGAUGCCCUAAGGGCUGUAUAUAUGGAGGAAGAGGGGGGAAUUUCGUGGCCCUUGGUGGAGGGGUCCGAAAUCAACCCUAUCUCUUGUUUCCCCACACAUACGGACUCUAAAAAUAGCCUAUACUUAUGUAUUUCGAAAUUACAUGGGCCUGGCCCAAUAAUAAGGUGACGCAGCACCUAAAAUAGCCUCGGGACGAAAUUUAUGAAGUGGCAUCUUGUAUAUUUCGUCCAAGGCUUCAUGCACCCAUUAGGGUGGCCUCAAAGUCCUGAAAUCAUCACUUGUAACUCCGUUCUUGUUUCCCUUGCACAUGCCAUCAUCUCCAUGCUUGUUCUUGCUCCAAUGUUCAUCCUUCUCCAAGCUAGGCCCUUCAUUUGUAAGCAAAACAAAUGUAUCCAAUUUAGGCAGCAUCAUAUUCUCAUGAACAUUAGAAUCAUUACCAAGAAACGAAAGUACCUGGUAAUUUAGUUGGCGUGCACGAGCUCUAGUAAUUGGUCCAGUAUGUAUAGCAGCAGGGGCUGUGGGUGUAACAAUUGUAUUGAUGUCUUCAUCAGUAGCACGUGGUGGAAACUGAUGGAUGGAUGGUGGACAGCGGAAGGGAUAACGAUGCAGCGGUGGCGUGACAAAUGUGAACAGAACUCGAAACUCUAAACGACCUAGACACUAAGACCAGCAACUCGACACGACGAUGCAACCGAUAAUUCAACUAUGCAACCAAUGAAAAGAAAAUUGCAAAGGCUCAGACUGGCUUGGACCAAGGAUGAAUCGAUCUAACUCUUUUUUGUGGCUUUUUCUUGGACAAUAGGUAAGAAAAUAAAUCUAAUCUAGGAAAACUGGAAAUUCUCACCGAGCAACCUGAAAACUGAUACCACUUGAUAGAGGCGGGGUGUCCCGAUCUUUCGAUGAGAUGAUAACUAUCGAUUUGGCGGAGACGACUUUGACGAUCCGACUACAAACGUGCAACGACGUUGUGCCUUAGCAAUCGCUAAACCAACUCCGGGAGGUUAUUGACCACGCCGGAGCACGAUCAACCUGACCACGAAGGUCUAUUCCUGCAAGCAAUCGAAGAACAAGCAAGAAUAUGAUAAAAGCAAUCUGAAUAUUGCGAGUAUAUAUGAAGUAUUGAUAAAGGUGGGGAUCCGUAAGCGGUCUUGGUCUGGUCGUUGGACACAAACGAAGUACACGAAGUUGCAAUGGCUAACUUUUAACUAAACAAAUCCCAAGGAAAAGCUACUAGAUGGAUCUACUUAUAUAGGAGCAAGGGGUGGCGGCCAAGGAGGUGGGAGGACGUCCCAAGGCAGCCUAAAACUAAAUCUAGGUCGUACAAGGCCAAUGGGCCCAAGUGGAGGUGAUGUAACACCUUUGGACUUGUAGUUUGACUCGGAUUCUGCUGCAGCAUCAGAUUGUUUCGUCCACAACUCAACGCUCCGGACGAAUUUGAAGGUGAUUCCAAUUGGGUUGGAAAGUGCACGAAAUCUAGUUUCCAACAAAAAAAGAAUCACCCAAUUCGGAGUCCGUAUGAAAAACUUGUGUGCGUUUUGAGUCAGGUAUGUCUGUGCAGUCCGAAUCUGAAUCCAGAACGUGAGAGACUUGGACUCUAUCUUCUCUUGGGCCAAAAGUGACGUGAGAGAACUUUUUGGACAGCAAAUAAACAUCUCUUUCUUCCUUAUCUUCAUACGUGGAUUGUACAAAUGUCCCAUACACCUGCAAUUAGACAAAACACAAAAGUGUGUGAAGUAUUUUUGUUCUGGAUAGCAUAAAUAGAUUAUUGAAUAGUUUGCACUAGAAAUCACCUGACAAAUAUGCAUAUAUGCAAUAUUUUUGGUCAUAUCCAAGGUAGUCAUGUCCUCAUCAUACCAUGGCACCAUGCUAGGCGUCAUGUUUUUUAAACAUUUAUUUCAUUUUUUCUAUAGUUGAAAAGCCAACAAACAAACAUUUGUGGUUGACUAUUGCCACACAUUUCAUCAAAAUAUCUGUCCAUUAUUCCUUGUAAAAGGCACAAGAAUUUACUAAAUGGCACGAGCAUGGUUUCUAGGCCAUUCUUGUGGACCCUUUCAUGUACCGAUUGUUUGAACUUGAAUUAUGUAUGUUAAUACCUAGGAAAUGCACAUAAUCCCCUAAAUAUGGCAAAUGAACCCGAAAAAGUGCCAAAUUUGAACAUGGUGAUUUGCAGGUUGUAUGUUCAUCAUAGAAAAAAACUGAUAGAGGCCAAGGUGUCCCGUCUUUCAAUGAGAAGGUGGAUUUCGCUUUGGUGGAAGUCGACUAUGACGAUCCGACUACGAACGUGCGAGGACGUCGCGCCUUAGCAAUCGCUAAACCAACUCCGAGAGGUUAUUGACCACGCCGGGGCACGAUCAACCUGACCACGAGGGUCUGUUUCCUGCGAGCAAACGAAGAACAAGCAAGAAACUAAGAUUGCAAUCUGAAUAUUGCGAAUAUAAGAUGAAAGCUUUAUUGAUCAAGGUGGGGUUCUGUGACGCCUUUGUCUGGUCGUUGAACACAAACGAAGUACACGAAGUUGCAGCUAUGGUGAACUUUUAAUCUAAACAAAACCCAAAGUCUAAACGAUGCCCUAAGGGCUGUAUAUAUGGAGGAAGAGGGGGGAAUUUCGUGGCCCUUGGUGGAGGGGUCCGAAAUCAACCCUAUCUCUUGUUUCCCCACACAUACGGACUCUAAAAAUAGCCUAUACUUAUGUAUUUCGAAAUUACAUGGGCCUGGCCCAAUAAUAAGGUGACGCAGCACCUAAAAUAGCCUCGGGACGAAAUUUAUGAAGUGGCAUCUUGUAUAUUUCGUCCAAGGCUUCAUGCACCCAUUAUGGUGGCUUCAAAGUCCUGAAAUCAUCACUUGUAACUCCGUUCUUGUUCCCCUUGCGCAUGCCAUCAUCUCCAUGCUUGUUCUUGCUCCAAUGUUCAUCCUUCUCCAAGCUAGGCCCUUCAUUUGUAAGCAAAACAAAUGUAUCCAAUUUAGGCAGCAUCAUAUUCUCAUGAACAUUAGAAUCAUUACCAAGAAACGAAAGUACCUGGUAAUUUAGUUGGCGUGCACGAGCUCUAGUAAUUGGUCCAGUAUGUAUAGCAGCAGGGGCUGUGGGUGUAACAAUUGUAUUGAUGUCCUCAUCAAAAACUCAUGGACAAAGGACAAAGGAAAUUUGGACCCCCCCUUAAAUCUUUGUGAUUUCCUCCUCGAAACCAUGAAACUUCCUCAGUGAUGGUUCGUUUUAUGAAAGGCGUGCAUGACGACAUUUUUACCAGGGCACGGUGAGGUCAUACCAUGGCACCACACCAGGUGUCAUGUUUUCCAAUCAUGUAUUUCACUUUUGUAUAGUUGUUAACCCAGUAAACGACACGUUUAUGGUUGACUAUUGCCACACAUUUCCUUGAAAUAUCUACCCAUUCCUUGUAAAAGGCAUGAGAAUGUACUAAGUAACACGAGCAUGGUUUUCCAGACCAUUCAUGUGCACUUUGUCAUGCACCGAUUGUUCGAAUUUGAAUUAUGUGCAUAAUUAAUGCCUAGAAAAUGCACAUAAUCCCCUAAAUAUGGUAAAUGAGUUCAGAAAAAUGUCAAAUUCGAACAGGUUGCAUUUGAGGCGGUAUGUUGAUCACUGGAAAAAAACUGAAUGACAAACUAGGAUGGAAAUUUGGAUUCCCCUUCAACCUUGGUGAUUUCCCUCUCGAAAGCAUUGAACUUCCUCGGUGAUGGUUCAAUUUAUGAAGGGCGUGCAUGACGACAUAAAUCAAAACCUUCUUAUCUUUUAACCAGGGCACAGUGAGGCCAUACCAUGGCACCAUGCCAGUCGUCAUGUUUCUCAAGCACAUAUUUCAUUCUUCUAUAGUUGAUAACCCAGUAAAUGACGCGUUUGUGGUUGACUAUUGCCACACAUUCUAUUGAAAUCUCUGCCCAUUCCUUGUAAAAGGCUUGAGAAAUUACUAGAUACCACGAGUAUGGUUUUUCCAAACCAUUCUUGUGCACCCUUUCAUGCACCGAUUGUUUGAAUUUGAAUUACGUGCAUUAAUGCCUACAAACUGCACAUAAUCCCCUAAAUAUUGUAAAUGAACCUGGAAAAGUGUCAAAUUUGAACACGAUGAUUAGCAGGGGUUAUGUUCAUCAUAGAAAAAACUCAUGGAUGGAGGACAAAGGAAAUUUGGAUUCCCAUUCAAUCUCGGUGAUUUACUAUUGCACACGAUUCAUCUCCGUCGCCUCUGUGAACCGUGUGUGUUCACUCACACAUGCAAAAGGAAAAAAGAAAACCCUCGCCCACUUCGUCCCCACUCACUCGCCGCAGACUACUCUGCAACUCUACACCCUAAGCUCGACGGUUGUUGGCGGCGGGCAUAGGUCGCGAUCCAAACGGCACCGGAUUUCACCCCUACCGCUUUUCGCCGCCUAUCUGCACCGACAUUCUAGACUCUGGUCGACUGGGGUUUUCUGUCGGAUUGUGCCGGGAUUUUUCUCAUGGAGAAGGUAAUCAACUUAAUUAGCAAAAUAUUCACUCAUCUCUUAUCAUAGUCCGUCCGUCGCUGUUAAUCAACCAACGGAAAUCGCCGUGGAAUCAUUUUUGUUCUAGCUGAUUCGUGGGUGUUCAUUCAUCUGUCCACAGUGCAAGCACAAAUCGGGCAACUGUGGUCAUGGCCAGUCGGAAAUGAAGUCCUAUCUCACCAUUCCGGAUGACUUCAGGGAGCGCUCGAUAUGUUCAAUCUCAACCUACCACGGUCGGCAUGGCCAAAAUUUGUGAACAUAUACCGUCUGUUGCUACAUUAUCUAUACAUUUGCAUCAAAUCUUUGUUACAUUAUCUAUUUUUAAUUCUAUAUUUUUGUACUUUGCUUUCAUCUAUAUAUAUAUAGAUCUGUUCUAUCAGUUACUCCCAUAUUUGCAUCUUGCUAUGUUAUUUCAAUAUAUCUAAUUUACGAUCUUAAUUUUCAUUUCAAGCAGUACAUCCCUUGCUUUGCAAGAACAGGAGUAGAAGGAAAUCUUGGGCUUUACUUUGUUGAUGGCUCCGAGGAUGUCAUAUUGACAACGCAACAUGGAUUUACAAUGACGGUUAGCAUAAUACUUGAUAAAUAUGGUCAAUCCUAUUUUAAUGCGGACCUUUGGAGAAAAAUGUCUAAGUGUUAUGAACUGAAAGCUGGCAAUAAAAUUCUAGUGCGUGCACCACAACCUGGUCUAAUUAACAUGGAUGUUUACUUUCCCAACGCCAUCAGCUGAUCAAAGUAUGAUUGAGGUUAGUGUCCUUUCAACUUUCUCCAUGUUGUCCUAUUACUAUUUAAGCAACCAAUUGAUCACUACUUAAGUAACCAAUGGUGAUAUCAUAUUCUGACUCCGUUCCUAGGCAGUAACAAAUUCUAUUUACCAAUUUAUGAGCACUAUAUAUUCUUCUGCCAUGUUAUGAAUAAAUAAUACCUUUCCACCUUUUAAGCAGGACAUGUUGGAUGCAUAGUGAACGAUUUGUAUGUUACUAAGCAUACCAAAUUUCACUGGAAGGACUUGAAGCAUGUCAUAAACUUUGUUGAUAAUCUGACAAAGAUAGCACGAUGAACGCUGGAUUUUGGAUGGGAUUAAUUAGACCUAUGGUGCACACACUAAACAAGACCAAUUGUGUGCACAAAACGCUGGUAAAAAGUCUUACUUUAAUGUUGAUGCUCAUAAACUAUAUAUAUCUUCAAUGAUAUGUUACAAUUGUUUUUUAUUCUACAUGUCAACAGAAAUUGCCCCCUGUAGAAGUUCCUGGAUCGAUUUCCCGGCGUGGUCGAAUUACACUUGUGCGUGCUAAUAACGCCAAAGUGAUUGCAAGGUACUGAAUUUCCCGCAGAAAUGGAACCAUUCAAAUUAACAAGUUCUCGCUUCUCCUGGCAAUGCAUCCAUAUUGAAAAUUUGAGACACUGUUCUACUCCUGCUCUACCAAGGCACAGGAGGGCUCUUCCUUUUCAUUGACGAGAUGCCGAGUCACCAUGAUCAAGCUGCUUCCAGUGGAUAGUUGUGGUUGUUGGCCCUCAGCCUCUUAAAAUGUGCUAGUUGUUACUAUAUAUGUUAAAUAUGUUGAUAUGGACCAUAUGGUUGUUGGCCCUUAGCCUCUUAAAAUGUGAUAGUUGUUACUAUGUUAAGUAUGUAGAUAUGGACCAUAUGGUUUUCAAAACCGUGUUACGAAGAUCCUCCUUUUGUCGAAUAGUGUAACCACUAUAUAUAUGUUACUCAAAUGUUGUUACCCAAGUUCAUAAAUUUUCAUGGAAAGUAUUAGUAUCGUACACAGUUCAUGAUGAGGACAUGACUACCUUGGAUAUGACCAAAAAUAUUGCAUAUAUGCAUAUUUGUCAGGUGAUUUCUAGUGCAAACUAUUCAAUAAUCUAUUUGUGUUAUCCAGAACAAAAAUACUUCACACACUUUUGUGUUUUGCCUAAUUGCAGGUGUAUGGGACAUUUGUACAAUCUACAUAUGAAGAUAAGGAAGAAAGAGAUGUUUAUUUGCUGUCCAAAAAGUUCUCUCACGUCACUUUUGGCCCAAGAGAAGAUAGAGUCCAAGUCUCUCACGUUCUGGAUUCAGAUUUGGACUGCACAGACACACCUGACUCAAAACGCACACAAGUUUUUCAUACGGACUCCGAAUUGGGCGAUUCUUUUUUUGUUGGAAACUAGAUUUCGUGCACUUUCCAACCCAAUUGGAAUCUCCUCCAAAUUCGUCCGGAGCUUUGAGUUGUGGACGAAACAAUCUGAUGCUGCAGCAGAAUCCGAGUCAAACUACAAGUCCAAAGGUGUUACAUCACCUCCACUUGGGCCCAUUGGCCUUGUACGACCUAGAUUUAGUUUUAGGCUGCCUUGGGACGUCCUCCCACCUCCUUGGCCGCCACCCCUUGCUCCUAUAUAAGUAGAUCCAUCUAGUAGCUUUUUCCUUGGGAUUUGUUUAGUUAAAAGUUAGCCAACGCAACUUCGUGUACUUCGUUUGUGUCCAACGACCAGACCAAGACCGCUUUCGGAUCCCCACCUUUAUCAAUACUUCAUACAUAUUUGCAAUAUUCAGAUUGCUUUUAUCAUAUUCUUGCUCGUUCUUCGAUUGCUUGCAGGAAUAGACCUUCGUGGUCAGGUUGAUCGUGCACCGGCGUGGUCAAUAACCUCUGGAGAUUGGUUUAGCGAUUGCUAAGGCGCAACGUCGUGCACGUUUGUAGUCGGAUCGUCAAAGUCGUCUCCACCAAAUCGAUAGUUACCAUCUCAUCGAAAGAUCGGGACACUCCCGCCUCUAUCAAUGUGGGUGUCGGAGAGAUGUAGUUGCAAAUGUCUCCAUGCGCGGUUGAUGAGGACAUCAAUACAAUUGUUACACCCACAGCCCCUGCUGCUAUACAUACUGGACCAAUUACUAGAGCUCGUGCACGCCAACUAAAUUACCAGGUACUUUCGUUUCUUGGUAAUGAUUCUAAUGUUCAUGAGAAUAUGAUGCUGCCUAAAUUGGAUACAUUUGUUUUGCUUACAAAUGAAGGGCCUAGCUUGGAGAAGGAUGAACAUUGGAGCAAGAACAAGCAUGGAGAUGAUGGCAUGCGCAAGGGGAACAAGAACGGAGUUACAAGUGAUGAUUUCAGGACUUUGAAGCCACCAUAAUGGGUGCAUGAAGCCUUGGACGAAAUAUACAAGAUGCCACUUCAUAAAUUUCGUCCCGAGGCUAUUUUAGGUGCUGCGUCACCUUAUUAUUGGGCCAGGCCCAUGUAAUUUCGAAAUACAUAAGUAUAGGCUAUUUUUAGAGUCCGUAUGUGUGGGGAAACAAGAGAUAGGGUUGAUUUCGGAUCCCUCCACCAAGGGCCACGAAAUUCCCCCCCUCUUCCUCCAUAUAUACAGCCCUUAGGGCAUCGUUUAGACUUUGGGUUUUGUUUAGAUUAAAAGUUCGCCAUAGCUGCAACUUCGCGUACUUCGUUUGUGUUCAACGACCAGACAAGGGCGUCACAGAACCCCACCUUGAUCAAUAAAGUUUUCAUCUUAUAUUCGCAAUAUCCAGAUUGCAAUCUUAGUUUCUUGCUUGUUCUUCGUUUGCUCGCAGGAAACAGACCCUCGUGGUCAGGUUGAUCGUGCUCCGGCGUGGUCAAUAACCUCUCGGAGUUGGUUUAGCGAUUGCUAAGGCGCGACGUCCUCGCACGUUCGUAGUCGGAUCGUCAAAGUCGACUUCCACCAAAGCGAUAUCCAUCAUCUCAUCGAAAGAUCGGGACCCUCGCCUCUAUCAAGUGAUAUCGAAAGAGCUCUGAUACCACUUGAUAGAGGCGGGGUGUCCCGAUCUUUCGAUGAGAUGAUAACUAUCGAUUUGGUGGAGACGACUUUGACGAUUCGACUACAAACGUGCACGACGUUGCGCCUUAGCAAUCGCUAAACCAACUCCGAGAGGUUAUUGAUCACGCCGGAGCACAAUCAACCUGACCACGAAGGUCUAUUCCUGCAAGCAAUCGAAGAACAAGCAAGAAUAUGAUAAAAGCAAUCUGAAUAUUGCGAGUAUAUAUGAAGUAUUGAUAAAGGUGGGGAUCCGUAAGCGGUCUUGGUCUGGUCGUUGGACACAAACGAAGUACACGAAGUUGCAAUGGCUAACUUUUAACUAAACAAAUCCCAAGGAAAAGCUACUAGAUGGAUCUACUUAUAUAGGAGCAAGGGGUGGCGGCCAAGGAGGUGGGAGGACGUCCCAAGGCAGCCUAAAACUAAAUCUAGGUCGUACAAGGCCAAUGGGCCCAAGUCCCAAGGAAAAGCUACUAGAUGGAUCUACUUAUAUAGGAGCAAGGGGUGGCGGCCAAGGAGGUGGGAGGACGUCCCAAGGCAGCCUAAAACUAAAUCUAGGUCGUACAAGGCCAAUGGGCCCAAGUGGAGGUGAUGUAACACCUUUGGACUUGUAGUUUGACUCGGAUUCUGCUGCAGCAUCAGAUUGUUUCGUCCACAACUCAACGCUCCGGACGAAUUUGAAGGUGAUUCCAAUUGAGUUGGAAAGUGCACGAAAUCUAGUUUCCAACAAAAAAAGAAUCACCCAAUUCGGAGUCCGUAUGAAAAACUUGUGUGCGUUUUGAGUCAGGUGUGUCUGUGCAGUCCGAAUCUGAAUCCAGAACGUGAGAGACUUGGACUCUAUCUUCUCUUGGGCCAAAAGUGACGUGAGAGAACUUUUUGGACAGCAAAUAAACAUCUCUUUCUUCCUUAUCUUCAUAUGUGGAUUGUACAAAUGUCCCAUACACCUGCAAUUAGACAAAACACAAAAGUGUGUGAAGUAUUUUUGUUCUGGAUAACAUAAAUAGAUUAUUGAAUAGUUUGCACUAGAAAUCACCUGACAAAUAUGCAUAUAUGCAAUAUUUUUGGUCAUAUCCAAGGUAGUCAUGUCCUCAUCACUUGGCCGCCACCCCUUCCUCCUAUAUAAGUAGAUCCAUCUAGUAGCUUUUUCCUUGGGAUUUGUUUAGUUAAAAGUUAGCCAACGCAACUUCGUGUACUUCGUUUGUGUCCAACGACCAGACCAAGACCGCUUUCGGAUCCCCACCUUUAUCAAUACUUCAUACAUAUUUGCAAUAUUCAGAUUGCUUUUAUCAUAUUCUUGCUCGUUCUUCGAUUGCUUGCAGGAAUAGACCUUCGUGGUCAGGUUGAUCGUGCACCGGCGUGGUCAAUAACCUCUGGAGAUUGGUUUAGCGAUUGCUAAGGCGCAACGUCGUGCACGUUUGUAGUCGGAUCGUCAAAGUCGUCUCCACCAAAUCGAUAGUUACCAUCUCAUCGAAAGAUCGGGACACCCCCGCCUCUAUCAAGUGGUAUCAGUUUUCAGGUUGCUCGGUGAGAAUUUCCAGUUUUUCUUAGAUUAGAUUUAUUUUCUUACCUAUUGUCCAAGAAAAAGCCACAAAAAAAAGUUAGAUCUGUUCAUCCUUUAUCCAAGCCAGUCUGAGCCUUUGCAAUUUUCUAUUCAUUGCUUGCAUAGUUGAAUUAUCGGUUGCAUCGUCGUGUCAGUUGCUGGUCUUAGUGUCUAGUUCCUUUAGAGUUUCGAGUUCUGUUCACAUUAGUCACGCCGCCGCUGCAUCAUUAUCCGUUCCGCUGUCCACCAUCCCAUCUAUUAAUUUCCACCACGUGCUAUGCUGUUCAUUGUCAUAAUCAUAGUUGAGGUCAUUCACAUCUUCGCCUGAUCCAAUCUGCAUCUUAUCUAGUUUGUCUUGGAAAGAGGGAGACAAAAAAGAUAUAGAAAAAAAAGAGAAA